rnacentral:rRNA from 1 species
UCUGCCCGCUGGCGGCGUGCCUAAUACAUGCAAGUCGAGCGAACAGAUGAGGAGCUUGCUCCUCUGACGUUAGCGGCGGACGGGUGAGUAACACGUGGAUAACCUACCUAUAAGACUGGGAUAACUUCGGGAAACCGGAGCUAAUACCGGAUAAUAUAUUGAACAGCAUGGUUCAAUAGUGAAAGACGGUUUUGCUGUCACUUAUAGAUGGAUCCGCGCCGCAUUAGCUAGUUGGUAAGGUAACGGCUUACCAAGGCAACGAUGCGUAGCCGACCUGAGAGGGUGAUCGGCCACACUGGAACUGAGACACGGUCCAGACUCCUACGGGAGGCAGCAGUAGGGAAUCUUCCGCAAUGGGCGAAAGCCUGACGGAGCAACGCCGCGUGAGUGAUGAAGGUCUUCGGAUCGUAAAACUCUGUUAUUAGGGAAGAACAAAUGUGUAAGUAACUAUGCACGUCUUGACGGUACCUAAUCAGAAAGCCACGGCUAACUACGUG